rnacentral:rRNA from 1 species
AGUCAAUAGAUACCCCGGUAGUCCAUGCCGUAAACGAUGAUUGCUAGGUGUGGGGGGUCUGACCCCUUCCGUGCCGGAGUUAAACACAAAUAAGCAAUCCACCUGGGGAGUACGGCCGCAAGGUUGAAACUCAAAGGAAUUGACGGGGGCCCGCACAAGCAGUGGAGUAUGUGGUUUAAUUCGAAGCAACGCGAAGAACCUUACCAGGUCUUGACAUCCACCGAAUCCUGUAGAGAUACGGGAGUGCCCUUCGGGGAACGGUGAGACAGGUGGUGCAUGGUUGUCGUCAGCUCGUGUCGUGAGAUGUUGGGUUAAGUCCCGCAACGAGCGCAACCCUUGUGAAUAGUUGCUACGAAAGAGCACUCUAUUCAGACCGCCGUUGACAAAACGGAGGAAGGUGGGGAUGACGUCAAAUCAUCAUGCCCCUUAUGACCUGGGCUACACACGUACUACAAUGGUCGUCAACAGAGGGAAGCAAGACCGCGAGGUGAAGCGAACCCUAAAAACGAUCUCAGUUCAGAUUGCAGGCUGAAACUCG